rnacentral:tRNA from 1 species
GUAGCUCAGUCGGUGGAGCACCAGUGAUCAAACCUGAAGGUCGUGGGUUCAAUUCCCACCCU